GACGAACGCUGGCGGCGCGCCUCAUACAUGCAAGUCGAACGAGAAGCCUGGAGCUUGCUCUGGGUGGAGAGUGGCGAACGGGUGAGGAACACGUGAGGAACCUGCCCCGAAGACUGGGAUAACACCGGGAAACCGGUGCUAAUACCGGAUGUCCUCAUCGGACCGCAUGAUCCGAUGAGGAAAUGGAUUCCGCUUCGGGAUGGCCUCGCGGCCUAUCAGCUUGUUGGUGGGGUAACGGCCCACCAAGGCUUCGACGGGUAGCUGGUCUGAGAGGAUGUCCAGCCACACUGGGACUGAGACACGGCCCAGACUCCUACGGGAGGCAGCAGUAGGGAAUCUUGCGCAAUGAGCGAAAGCUUGACGCAGCGACGCCGCGUGCGGGAUGAAGGCCC
rnacentral:rRNA from 1 species